rnacentral:rRNA from 1 species
CUAAUACAUGCAAGUCGAGCGCGGGAAGCAGAAAGAUUCCUUCGGGAUGACAUCUGUGGAACGAGCGGCGGAUGGGUGAGUAACACGUGGGCAACCUGCCUGUAAGACUGGGAUAACUCCGGGAAACCGGGGCUAAUACCGGAUAGAGUUUUCUCUCGCAUGAGAGGAAACGGAAAGGCGGCUUCGGCUGUCACUUACAGAUGGGCCCGCGGCGCAUUAGCUAGUUGGUGGGGUAACGGCUCACCAAGGCGACGAUGCGUAGCCGACCUGAGAGGGUGAUCGGCCACAUUGGGACUGAGACACGGCCCAGACUCCUACGGGAGGCAGCAGUAGGGAAUCUUCCGCAAUGGACGAAAGUCUGACGGAGCAACGCCGCGUGAACGAAGAAGGUUUUCGGAUCGUAAAGUUCUGUUGUUAGGGAAGAACAAGUACCGUUUGAAUAAGGCGGUACCUUGACGGUACCUAUCGAGAAAGCCCCGGCUAACUACGUGCCAGCAGCCGCGGUAAUACGUAGGGGGCAAGCGUUGUCCGGAUUUAUUGGGCGUAAAGCGCGCGUAGGCGGUUUCUUAAGUCUGAUGUGAAAUCUUGCGGCUCAACCGCAAGCGGUCAUUGGAAACUGGGGAACUUGAGUGCAGAAGAGGAGAGUGGAAUUCCACGUGUAGCGGUGAAAUGCGUAGAGAUGUGGAGGAACACCAGUGGCGAAGGCGA